AAAGUACUCCUUCCGUCCCAAAUUAGUUGUCUUAGAUUUGUCUAGAUACGGAUGUAUCUAGACAUGUUUUAGUGUUAGCUACAUCUGUAUCUAGACAAAUCUAAGACAAGUAAUGUGGGACGGAGGUAAUACAUA
rfam:Triticum aestivum genome assembly, contig: Triticum_aestivum_CS42_TGACv1_scaffold_407985_5BL